GAUGAACGCUGGCGGCGUGCCUAAUACAUGCAAGUCGAGCGAACAGACGAGGAGCCUGCUCCUCUGACGUUAGCGGCGGACGGGUGAGUAACACGUGGAUAACCUACCUAUAAGACUAGGAUAACUUCGGGAAACCGGAGCUAAUACCGGAUAAUAUAUUGAACCGCAUGGUUCAAUAGUGAAAGACGGUUUUGCUGUCACUUAUAGAUGGAUCCGCGCCGCAUUAGCUAGUUGGUAAGGUAACGGCUUACCAAGGCAACGAUGCGUAGCCGACCUGAGAGGGUGAUCGGCCACACUGGAACUGAGACACGGUCCAGACUCCUACGGGAGGCAGCAGUAGGGAAUCUUCCGCAAUGGGCGAAAGCCUGACGGAGCAACGCCGCGUGAGUGAUGAAGGUCUUCGGAUCGUAAAACUCUGUUAUUAGGGAAGAACAAAUGUGUAAGUAACUAUGCACGUCUUGACGGUACCUAAUCAGAAAGCCACGGCUAACUACGUGCCAGCCGCCGCAGUAA
rnacentral:rRNA from 1 species